AAUCCCCAAAAGCAGUCUUAGUUCGGAUUGUAGGCUGCAACCCGCCUACAUGAAGUCGGAAUUGCUAGUAAUCGCGGAUCAGCGUGCCGCGGUGAAUACGUUCCCGGGCCUUGUACACACCGCCCGUCACACCAUGGGAGUUGGUAACACCCGAAGUCAGUAGCCUAACCGCAAGGAGGGCGCUGCCGAAGGUGGGAUCGAUGACUGGGGUGAAGUCGUAACAAGGUAUC
rnacentral:rRNA from 1 species